rnacentral:rRNA from 1 species
GACAGAGGUGCCGAGCGUUAGGCGGAAUCACUGGGCUUAAAGCGUGUGUAGGCGGACUUCUAAGUACCUUGUGAAAUCCCACGGCUCAACCGUGGAACUGCUCGGUAUACUGGUUGUCUUGAGCCACUUAGGGGCAGUCGGAACAGACGGUGGAGCGGUGAAAUGCGUAGAUAUCAGGAGGAACACCGGUGGUGUAGACGGCUUUCUGGACCGUAACUGACGCUGAGACACGAAAGCGUGGGUAGCAAACAGG